rnacentral:tRNA from 1 species
CGAGAUAAUGGCUGAAUUAUAGGCAAUAAAUUGUAAAUUUAUUUAUGAGGGUACUCUUAUUUC